rnacentral:tRNA from 1 species
AGGAUAAUAGUUAAUAAUAACAUUUGACUUGCAUUCAAAAAGAACUGAUAACAGUUUAUCUU